ensembl:lncRNA
UAGGGAGUGGUGUUUGUUGGCUAUCGCCAGUAGAUUCAGAAUAUGUAAUUUCUGUCUUUCUGGCAGGUUUGGUUAAGUAUUGACGAUCAAUGUCCGAACAUUGAAUAUAACGCUAACUUCACCGCAGUUCAUUAAUCGGCGAUGAGUACAAUAUAACAUUUUUAAAAGCAGGAGCAUGAUGACUAGUGCGCUGUUUUGAUUUUAAGCGGCCUCAAUCGUGCGUCCUAAACGUGUUAUUACCGGAGUUAAUCGACGACAUGACUCCGAUUAAUUCACCUAAGCGCAGAUCACCGUCUGUUUACAUGACUGCAAUCAUCAUGGCAGUGCUGUGAAAUGACCAGCGAAAAGGAUGAAAGAGCAAGGUAUAACCUUAUUUCCCGGCAUGUAUUUGCCUUCGCAAGACCUUCUGCAUCACCAACAUUGUCCUAGAAUGUCCCACAUGCAAAGAAACGCAGCGCUAUGCAGACAGACUGAACACUGGUCAAGGCAUGGCUACGAUACUCAUCAGGGAAGCCCAGUGGAGAACUUCUGUCUCUGAAGACCCUUGGAGAACUGGUAAUGUAUGUGCCAUUUUAAAGAAAACAUACGUGAGCAGGCAAAACACAUUUCUCUUAUUUCUUAUGGGAUUCAUAGUCAACUGUAGGAUUUAACAGAAUUACACAAUCAUAAAACAAAACAUGGCAACAAAGAACAAAAUGAAAUGAUCCCUGUUAAAAAAUUCUGCAUACCCUUAGUUCUUAAUACUGUGUAUUGCCCCCUUAACAUCAAUGACAGUGUGGAGUCUUUUGUAAUAGUUGUCUGUGAGGCCCCGAAGUCUUGCAGGUGGUAUAGCUGCCCAUUCGUCUUGGCAAAAUGCCUCCAGGUCAUGCAAAGUCUUUGAUCGUCUUGAAGGACCCACAGAUUUGAAAUCUCCCCAGAGUGGCUUUAUGACUUUAACGUCAGGAGACUGUGAUGGCCACUCCAACUUGGCCUUGUGCUUAGGGUCAUUGUCACUGGAAAGUCCAAGAGCAUCCCAUGUGCAGCUUUCAUGCAGAAGAAUGCAAAUUGUCUGCCAGUAUUUUCUGAUAACAUGCUGCAUUCACAUUGCCAUACAUUUUCACCAGAUUCCCUUUGCCUUUAGAGGCCACACACCCCCAAAACCACAACCAUGCUUCAUAGUGGGGAUGGUAUUCUGUUCACUAUAGGCCUGGUUUACCCCUCUCAAAACAUAGUGCUUAUGGUUGUGACCAUAAAGCUCUAUUUUGGUCUUGUCACUCCAAAUUACAUUGUGCCAGAAUCUGUGAGGCGUGUAAAGGUGUUGUCAGGCAUAUUGUAACCAGGCUUUUUUUGUGGCAUUGGUGCAGUAAAGGCUUCUUUCUGGCAACUCAACCAUGUAGCUCAUUUUUGUUCAAGUAUCGUGAUAUUAUGCUCCUUGAAACAACCACACCGUCUUUUUCCAGAGCAGCCUGUAUUUUUCCUGAGGUUAACUGUGGGUUUUUCUUUGUAUCCCGAACAAUUCUUCUGGCAGUUUUGGUGAAAUCUUUCUUGGUCUACCUGACCUUGGCUUGGUAUCAAGAGAUCCCAGAAUCUUCCACUUCUUAAUAGGUGAUUAAACAGUAUUAACUGACAUUUGCAAGGCUUUUGAUAUCUUUUGAUAUCCUUUUCCUUCUUUAUAAAAUUCCAUUACCUUGUUCCAUUACUGUCUUUUGACAGUUAUAUUCUGCCACCCAUGGCUCAGUAUCUAGCCUGCUCAGUGCAUCCACGUGAGAGCUAACAAACUCAUUGACUACUUAUACACAGACACUAAUUGCAUUUUAAAAAGCCACAGGUGUGGAAAAUUCACCUUUAAUGGCCAUUUUCACCUGUGUGUGUCACCUUGUGUGUCUGUAGUAAGGCCAAACAUUCAAGGGUAUGUAAACUUUUGAUCAGGGCCAUUUGGGUGAUUUCUGUUAUCAAUGUGAUUUAAAAAGGAGCCAAAAAACUAUGUAAUAAUAAAUGUCUUCAUAUGAUCACUGUCAUU